AGUGAACGCUGGCGGUAGACCUAACACAUGCAAGUCGAACGGCAGCACAGUAAGAGCUUGCUCUUACGGGUGGCGAGUGGCGGACGGGUGAGGAAUACAUCGGAAUCUACUUUUUCGUGGGGGAUAACGUAGGGAAACUUACGCUAAUACCGCAUACGACCUACGGGUGAAAGCAGGGGAUCUUCGGACCUUGCGCGACUGAAUGAGCCGAUGUCGGAUUAGCUAGUUGGCGGGGUAAAGGCCCACCAAGGCGACGAUCCGUAGCUGGUCUGAGAGGAUGAUCAGCCACACUGGAACUAAGACACGGUCCAGACUCCUACGGGGGGCACCAGUGGGGAAUAUUGGACAAUGGGCGCAAGCCUGAUCCAGCCAUACCGCGUGGGUGAAGAAGGCCUUCGGGUUGUAAAGCCCUUUUGUUGGGAAAGAAAAGCAGCAGGUUAAUACCCCGCUGUUCUGACGGUACCCAAAGAAUAAGCACCGGCUAACCUCGUG
rnacentral:rRNA from 1 species